rnacentral:rRNA from 1 species
GUUCCUACGGGGGGCAGCAGUAGGGAAUCUUUCACAAUGGGCGAAAGCCUGAUGGAGCAACGCCGCGUGGAGGAUGAAGGUUUUCGGAUUGUAAACUCCUUUUGUUAGAGAAGAUAAUGACGGUAUCUAACGAAUAAGCACCGGCUAACUCCGUGCCAGCAGCCGCGGUAAUACGGAGGGUGCAAGCGUUACUCGGAAUCACUGGGCGUAAAGAGCGCGUAGGCGGGAUAGCAAGUCAGAUGUGAAAUCCUAUGGCUUAACCAUAGAACUGCAUUUGAAACUGUUAUUCUAGAGUAUGGGAGAGG